rnacentral:tRNA from 1 species
GCCCGCAUAGCUCCAAUCGGUAGAGCAAUUGCAUGGUAAGCAAGAGGUUACAGGUUCGAUUCCUGUUGUGGGCACCA